rnacentral:tRNA from 1 species
GCCCAAGUGGCGGAACGGUAGACGCAGGGGAUUCAAAAUCCCCCGCCGCAAGGCGUGUGGGUUCGAUUCCCACCUUGGGCACCA